CCUACGGGAGGCAGCAGUAGGGAAUCUUCCGCAAUGGACGAAAGUCUGACGGAGCAACGCCGCGUGAACGAUGAAGGCCUUCGGGUCGUAAAGUUCUGUUGUUAGGGAAGAACAAGUGCUAGUUAAAUAAGCUGGCACCUUGACGGUACCUAACCAGAAAGCCACGGCUAACUACGUGCCAGCAGCCGCGGUAAUACGUAGGUGGCAAGCGUUGUCCGGAAUUAUUGGGCGUAAAGCGCGCGCAGGCGGUUUCUUAAGUCUGAUGUGAAAGCCCCCGGCUCAACCGGGGAGGGUCAUUGGAAACUGGGAAACUUGAGUGCAGAAGAGGAAAGUGGAAUUCCAAGUGUAGCGGUGAAAUGCGUAGAGAUUUGGAGGAACACCAGUGGCGAAGGCGACUUUCUGGUCUGUAACUGACGCUGAGGCGCGAAAGCGUGGGGAGCAAACAGGAUUAGAUACCCUGGUAGUCCACGCUGUAAACGAUGAGUGCUAAGUGUUAGAGGGUUUCCGCCCUUUAGUGCUGAAGUUAACGCAUUAAGCACUCCGCCUGGGGAUACGGUCGCAAGACUGAAACUCAAAAGAUAGUACGGCGUGAGACGUGCGAACGAGACACAGGGAGGUAGG
rnacentral:rRNA from 1 species